rnacentral:rRNA from 1 species
GACGAACGCUGGCGGCGUGCUUAACACAUGCAAGUCGAACGGAAAGGCCCUGCUUUUGUGGGGUGCUCGAGUGGCGAACGGGUGAGUAACACGUGAGUAACCUGCCCUUGACUUUGGGAUAACUUCAGGAAACUGGGGCUAAUACCGGAUAGGAGCUCCUGCUGCAUGGUGGGGGUUGGAAAGUUUCGGCGGUUGGGGAUGGACUCGCGGCUUAUCAGCUUGUUGGUGGGGUAGUGGCUUACCAAGGCUUUGACGGGUAGCCGGCCUGAGAGGGUGACCGGCCACAUUGGGACUGAGAUACGGCCCAGACUCCUACGGGAGGCAGCAGUGGGGAAUAUUGCACAAUGGGCGGAAGCCUGAUGCAGCAACGCCGCGUGCGGGAUGACGGCCUUCGGGUUGUAAACCGCUUUCGCCUGUGACGAAGCGUGAGUGACGGUAAUGGGUAAAGAAGCACCGGCUAACUACGUGCCAGCAGCCGCGGUGAUACGUAGGGUGCGAGCGUUGUCCGGAUUUAUUGGGCGUAAAGGGCUCGUAGGUGGUUGAUCGCGUCGGAAGUGUAAUCUUGGGGCUUAACCCUGAGCGUGCUUUCGAUACGGGUUGACUUGAGGAAGGUAGGGGAGAAUGGAAUUCCUGGUGGAGCGGUGGAAUGCGCAGAUAUCAGGAGGAACACCAGUGGCGAAGGCGGUUCUCUGGGCCUUUCCUGACGCUGAGGAGCGAAAGCGUGGGGAGCGAACAGGCUUAGAUACCCUGGUAGUCCACGCUGUAAACGGUGGGUACUAGGUGUGGGGUCCAUUCCACGGGUUCCGUGCCGUAGCUAACGCUUUAAGUACCCCGCCUGGGGAGUACGGCCGCAAGGCUAAAACUCAAAGGAAUUGACGGGGCCCCGCACAAGCGGCGGAGCAUGCGGAUUAAUUCGAUGCAACGCGUAGAACCUUACCUGGGUUUGACAUGGAUCGGGAGCGCUCAGAGAUGGGUGUGCCUCUUUUGGGGUCGGUUCACAGGUGGUGCAUGGCUGUCGUCAGCUCGUGUCGUGAGAUGUUGGGUUAAGUCCCGCAACGAGCGCAACCCUUGUUCACUGUUGCCAGCACGUUAUGGUGGGGACUCAGUGGAGACCGCCGGGGUCAACUCGGAGGAAGGUGGGGAUGACGUCAAGUCAUCAUGCCCCUUAUGUCCAGGGCUUCACGCAUGCUGCAAUGGCUGGUACAGAGAGUGGCGAGCCUGUGAGGGUGAGCGAAUCUCGGAAAGCCGGUCUCAGUUCGGAUUGGGGUCUGCAACUCGACCUCAUGAAGUCGGAGUCGCUAGUAAUCGCAGAUCAGCAACGCUGCGGUGAAUACGUUCCCGGG